CAGUAAAAUAUUGAUCCUCCCACGUUCUGGUACUACUGAGACUUUCAUAUAUUAUACAGCCACCGUCAUCGCAAUGUAACUUCAAAAUAUAUAUAGUUUUGUUGAAUAGGAAUAAGAUUUUUAUUUUAUUUUACUUUUUAUCAUUAUUAUUUUUUUUCAAUGCUUUCAAACGAACUCCGCAUACAUAAUAAUAAGUCUAUAAUUUUACAAUUUAAAAGUUAAAAUGUAUUCCGCCGCUUAUUGUGUGUGGGUUUCAGAGUUUGAAAACCCUCUUUUCAGUGCCCCCGAUAUGCCCGUCUUUAGUUUGUUUUAUAAAUAGAAAAUUAAAUGUUCGUUUGAACUACAAAAUGUUGUUAUAUGAUUUUACACGUACGAGGAACAAACGAAAUAUUGAAUAUCGGUUAAUAUUAGUAAAGAAUUUUGUGUACUAAACUUUGUGUUUCCUAUUAAAAAAAAAAUGCGAGAAAAUUUACAAAAUAAGUACAUUUUAUUGUCUUAAAAUCGAACGAGUU